GUAGGUGGCAAGCGUUGUCCGGAAUUAUUGGGCGUAAAGCGCGCGCAGGCGGUUUUUUAAGUCUGAUGUGAAAGCCCACGGCUCAACCGUGGAGGGUCAUUGGAAACUGGAGAACUUGAGUACAGAAGAGGAAAGCGGAAUUCCACGUGUAGCGGUGAAAUGCGUAGAGAUGUGGAGGAACACCAGUGGCGAAGGCGGCUUUCCGGUCUGUAACUGACGCUGAGGCGCGAAAGCGUGGGGAGCAAACAGGAUUAGAUACCCUGGUAGUCCACGCCGUAAACGAUGAGUGCUAAGUGUUAGGGGGUUUCCCGCCCCCCUUAGUGCUGCAGCUAACGCAUUAAGCACUCCGCCUGGGGAGUACGGCCGCAAGGCUG
rnacentral:rRNA from 1 species